rnacentral:lncRNA from 1 species
AUGGGCUUUAACUAACAGUCAGAGGAAAUUGUACUGGGAGUCAAGGGGAGCACUUUCAAGUGGCUGUUUAAGACAAGGGCUGACCUCUAACAGAGCUUCUCCAUAAAACAAUACAAUUUUUACUUUUUUGUCCAGUGUGCAAUACAAUCAGACAGACCGCUAAACACCAUUCUCCUAGCAAUGAACACAGACUACAUGCAUAAUCAUAUAGAGAGAAUGUUCAUAUAUAUUAUGUAAUAUAUGCAGUAGUAAAUUAAUAGUGCCAUCUUCCUUUGGCCCAGAAUUUUGAUCUGUAAAAGUUUUGGGGGUUUGUGGAGGUUGUUUUUUGUGUUUUUUUUUUUUUUUCUGUGAAAUAACACAGUCUGACUGGUGCCACAAUUCUAGGUAGAGAAUGAGAGAAAAGGGCACAGUCAAUACCAAAAUAAUUUAUGGCAACUUUUUAACAAAUAUUUAGAAGCAUGGAAGCACCAAGGACAGAUACACAGGACAGAUCCUUGAAGUCAUAACAUGGUAACAUAACAUAACCCGUAAUAGGGUAAACUGCUGACUUUAUUUUAAGGCAUCAGGAAAAUAUCCUUUGAAUUCUGUGAAACUUUAGUGGGAACUGUUUGGGACAUUUAAAUCUGCUCUGGUCGAAGUAUUAGCAAAUGCACUGUAGAAAACAAUCCUGAAACAUCAAGAAGAUGGACAAGAUUUGUAACAGAUCUUUUGCUGCUCCAAUUCUUAUUAAUCUAAUCCAUCACCCUUACUGAGGUGGCAAAGUUUUAUGUAGACUUUAAAAUUAUGACCAUUAGAAAAUUAUGUCUGCCUGCGUAGUAUAUACAUACGUAUGUAUGUAAGGUCUGUUUUUUAAACACACGCGCAGAGAAAACUUUUGCACCUAAUUUGCCAAUGCUACAGCUAUAACAGUGCAUUAAUCUGGCAACUGCAGAAAGAAAUUUCUAAUUAUGGUUAUAUGAAUGCACAAUUUGCAUGUUGCAUGCAUAAUCACAACCCAUGAACUUGUAACUUAGGCAUGCAGUAACUUAGA